rnacentral:rRNA from 1 species
GACGAACGCUGGCGGCGUGCUUAACACAUGCAAGUCGAACGGAAAGGCCCUGCUUUUGUGGGGUGCUCGAGUGGCGAACGGGUGAGUAACACGUGAGUAACCUGCCCUUGACUUUGGGAUAACUUCAGGAAACUGGGGCUAAUACCGGAUAGGAGCUCCUGCUGCAUGGUGGGGGUUGGAAAGUUUCGGCGGUUGGGGAUGGACUCGCGGCUUAUCAGCUUGUUGGUGGGGUAGUGGCUUACCAAGGCUUUGACGGGUAGCCGGCCUGAGAGGGUGACCGGCCACAUUGGUACUGAGAGACGGCCCAGACUCCUACGGGAGGCAGCAGUGGGGAAUAUUGCACAAUGGGCGGAAGCCUGAUGCAGCAACGCCGCGUGCGGGAUGACGGCCUUCGGGUUAUAAACCGCUUUCGCCUGUGACGAAGCGUGAGUGACGGUAAUGGGUAAAGAAGCACCGGCUAACUACGUG